GACGAACGCUGGCGGCGUGCUUAACACAUGCAAGUCGAACGGAAAGGCCCCGUUUGGGUUACUCGCGUGGCGAACGGGCGGGUAAGACGUAAGUAACCUGCCCUUGACUUCCGGUUAGCUACAGUCAACUGGCUCUAAUACCGGACAGAUAUCCGUGCUGCCUGGAUGGGGUUGGAAAGCUUCGGCGGUUUGGGUUGGACUCACGGCUUAUCCGCUUGUUGGUGGGGGGGUGGCUUACCAAGGCUUUGACGGGUAGCCGGCCUGAGAGGGCGACCGGCCCACUUGGGACUGGGAUACGGCCCCGACUCCUACGGGGGGCAGGAGGGGGGAAUAUUGCACCAUGGGCGGGAGCCUGAUGCAGCAACGCCGCGGGCGGGAUGACGGCCUUCGGGUUGUAAACCGGUUUCAGCAGGGGCGAAGCUUGUGGUGACGGUACCUGCAGAAGAAGCACCGGCUAACUACGUG
rnacentral:rRNA from 1 species